rnacentral:tRNA from 1 species
GCCGAAGUGGCGGAAUGGUAGACGCAAGGGACUUAAAAUCCCUCGGGGGAAACUCCGUGCGGGUUCGAGUCCCGCCUUCGGCACCA